rnacentral:rRNA from 1 species
GAUAGAGGAUGCAAGCGUUAUCCGGAAUGAUUGGGCGUAAAGCGUCUGUAGGUGGCUUUUCAAGUCCGUUGUCAAAUCCCAGGGCUCAACCCUGGACUGGCGGUGGAAACUACCAAGCUGGAGUACGGUAGGGGCAGAGGGAAUUUCCGAUGGAGUGGUGAAAUGCGUUCAAAUCAGAAAGAACACCAACGGCGAAAGCACUCUGCUGGGCCGACACUGACAUUGAGAGACGAAAGCUAGGGGAGAAAAUAGG